rnacentral:pre_miRNA from 1 species
UUAACUCAAAUUUAUAUGCAGUUGGAACAGCGCCCCUAGCGGCAAACGUAGGCAAACGUUCCAACUCCAUACAAAUUUGAGUUA